UACAGAGGUCCCAAGCGUUGUUCGGAUUCACUGGGCGUAAAGGGUGCGUAGGCGGUCGGGUAAGUCUGAUGUGAAAUCUCACAGCUUAACUGUGAAACUGCAUUGGAUACUAUCCGGCUCGAGGAAUGGAGGGGAGACUGGAAUACUUGGUGUAGCAGUGAAAUGCGUAGAUAAUCAAGUGGAACACCAGUGGCGAAGGCGGGUCUCUGGACAUUUCCUGACGCUGAGGCACGAAAGCCAGGGGAGCAAACGGG
rnacentral:rRNA from 1 species